CUUUACCAAGCUCAAGUCAACCUGGGGACAUCCCAGAUCUUUGCCAUGAGGCACUACAAUCUACAUGUCUACCGAAGGCUGUCAGAACCCCAAAUCGCUGUGAACUUUGAGAUCUCUGGGGAACGCACCUGUGAUAUGUCCCUGACAUGCUCCGUGGAGAAGGCAGGCAUGGAUGUGACCUACAGCUGGCUCUGCUGGGGGGACAACACUGAGACAGUACAUGAAGGCCCUGUCCUCAGCACAUCCUGGAGGCCUGGGGACAGUGCCCUCUCCUACACCUGCAGGGCCAGCAACCCUGUCAGCAAUGUCAGUUCUCGUCCUAUCCCUGCUGGCUCCUUCUGUGCAGAUCCCAGAUAUCCUUCUGAGAACCCCUCAACAGCCUUCUGCCUCCUGGCCAAGGUGUUGCUCCUCCUCUUGCUCUUGGUAAUCCUGGCCGUGGGGAUCUGGAUCACCCGAGUCUGGAAAAGAGGCAAAAUGCCAAGAAUGAAGAAACUCAGGAGAAACAGAAUGAAACCGAGGAAGAAGAGGACGCCUGGCCCCAGCCCUGUCUGACUGCUCCUUGGGGACCCCCGUCCUGAGCUUUGAUUCUUCCCAGC